rnacentral:rRNA from 1 species
UACGGGGGGAGCAAGCGUUGUUCGGAUUUACUGGGCGUAAAGGGCGCGUAGGCGGCCACCGCAAGUCGACUGUGAAAUCUCCGGGCUUAACCCGGAAAGGUCAGCCGAUACUGCGGGGCUAGAGUGCAGAAGGGGCAACUGGAAUUCUCGGUGUAGCGGUGAAAUGCGUAGAUAUCGAGAGGAACACCUGCGGCGAAGGCGGGUUGCUGGGCUGACACUGACGCUGACAGCGCGAAAGCUAGGGGAGCGAACGGGG